rnacentral:rRNA from 1 species
CUACGGAGGAUGCGAGCGUUAUCCGGAUUUAUUAGGUUUAAAGGGUGUGUAGGCGGUAUUUUAAGUCAGUGGUGAAAUCUCGGAGCUUAACUUCGAAACUGCCAUUGAUACUGGAAUACUUGAGUAUAGUUGAGGUAGUCGGAAUAUGUAAUGUAGCGGUGAAAUGCAUAGAUAUUACAUAGAACACCGAUUGCGAAGGCAGCUUACUAAACUAUUACUGACGCUGAUGCACGAAAGCGUGGGGAGCGAACAGGAUUAGAAACCCUAGUAGUCC